rnacentral:lncRNA from 1 species
ACUCGAGCCUGCCCUCCCUAGGACCUGCCUAACUUCUCUCCAGCUGCGUCGGCCUCGCAGUGCAGCGGCCCGCGGAGCCUCACACAGGCCGCAGCCGGUUCCUUUCAGCGGCCUGUCCACGCCCCGGAGACGCCCAGGGGAAGGAGAGGGCGCGGCUACAUGGGGAAUGGGAGCUGUGUUACUACCUCCACCCUGGCCCGCCAGCGUCUGGACGAAGAACCGCCGCCAGACCAGUUUGUUAACAUCCCUGCAGUAACCAAAAACAUGAGCUGGAUAAGGAGGAGAAGAGGAGCUGGCCGAAUGAUUUUUAAGCAGAAGCUGAAUGUUCAAUAAGAAUAGAGUUGACACCUUCAGAGGAGAAGUAAGAAAUAGUU